GCGUAGCUCUGCUCCAUCAUUUUCGUUGUUGGCGUGCUCCGAAAAAGAGAGCUUCCAGAGGUGAUGGGUUCACGAUCUAGCAGAAACCGGCGCGAAGUGCGAGCUUCACGAAACAGGUGUUCUGUGACGAAACUUUGCGAGUGGAUCGGCGGGACUCUUCAACACACGAGCACGACUGACUACCGCCUGAUGAUCUGCCAGCUUCUCUCGCAGCCCCUCGAAAGAUUUUCUUGGUUGGAAAAAGUGCCUGAUGGGAGUGAUCUUGAAAGAAGCCAUCGUAGUGCGACGCAAUUUGGUGGUGUUCACAGGCGCUACUUGCAGUGCAAGAAACGAAAUGUCAAAGGGACCUUCAAGUCAACUUUAAAUGGAUGACAACACAUCACCAAAUUCUGCUGUUUACAUUUUGUUCAAUAUGUGGUGUUCCAUUUGGUUGAUUGCUGUAUUCUUAGAAUUGUGUUGCAUGUUUGCAACAUAUUCUUUCAGUAAUUUGCUUUAUGCAUAGUAUUGUUUCAAUCGUUUUUUAUAUGAUUCUAUGUUUUAUCUGUGUUGAAAUACAUCUUAAUAAGGCAGCGGAAAGUCCUGCUCAGAUGGCCAAA